UUCUAAAUAAUCGUCCCAUAACCCUUCUAAAGACACAAUGUGAUUUAUUCCCAUUUCUCUACAUGUCAAAUUGAAGAAAUUCAACCAAACACAGGUAAACAACAAGAGUAGCUAUGACUAUAUUAAGGUAUCCAGAUGCCUCGUCAUCUAAUUAGUGACGCGUAUGAAUGGAUCAUUAAUGAUAUUCCCCACUAUCCCCGGCUACUAUAUUCUAGAAAAACCACAUCUAAGGGAAUGGGCUUGGCAAAAUUAGCGGGGAAAGAAGACCCUCAUGUUGAGCUUGAAUCUAGUCCUAACCCAUUCAUAGUUUGGGAAAAUCAGGGCAUAGU
rfam:Picea glauca, whole genome shotgun sequence.